CACCACCAGCAAUGGCAAAGAGACAUCUUGUUGGUGGUAUUGUUCUUAGAUCCAUCGGGGGAAGAGAAGAUGGCAAUCCUUGGUUCUUCCUAGCUUGAUGCCUGGCUUGGGGCUAAAGUUGUCUUAUGCCUAGGACUCAUAA
ensembl:snoRNA LOC120094478 small nucleolar RNA SNORA48